GAUGAACGCUGGCGGCGUGCCUAAUACAUGCAAGUCGAGCGAACGGACGAGAAGCUUGCUUCUCUGAUGUUAGCGGCGGACGGGUGAGUAACACGUGGAUAACCUACCUAUAAGACUGGGAUAACUUCGGGAAACCGUAGCUAAUACCGGAUAAUAUUUUGAACCGCAUGGUUCAAAAGUGAAAGACGGUCUUGCUGUCACUUAUAGAUGGAUCCGCGCUGCAUUAGCUAGUUGGUAAGGUAACGGCUUACCAAGGCAACGAUGCAUAGCCGACCUGAGAGGGUGAUCGGCCACACUGGAACUGAGACACGGUCCAGACUCCUACGGGAGGCAGCAGUAGGGAAGCUUCCGCAAUGGGCGAAAGCCUGGCGGAGCAACGCCACAUGAGUGGUGAAAGUCUUCGGAUCGUGAAACUCUGUUAUUAGGGAAGAACGUAUGUGUAAGUGACUGUGCGCAUCUUGACGGUACCUAGUCAGAAAGCCACGGCUAACUACGUG
rnacentral:rRNA from 1 species